rnacentral:tRNA from 1 species
GGGGAUUUAGCUCAGUGAUAGAGCGCUUGCCUAGCAAGCACAAGGCCCUGGGUUCGCUCCCCAGCUCCA